rnacentral:siRNA from 1 species
UCAGUUGGUCGUCGUUGCAGUUGC